GCAGUCUCUCAAGUGGAAUAGGUCACCUAGCUGCCUGCUGCAGGUCAUUCAGUUGACAGGUUUCUCUUGAUGAAAGAUAGCUCUUCAAGGUAGCUGUUCCAACAUGAACGGCAAUCUUGACUAAUUAUAUGUGAUACACCCACUCUGACUCAUGAGAUAGCACAGAAGGAAAGGGAGAGAGGAAGGGGAAGAAGGUGAAGAGAAAAGGGAAGAUGAGUUGGAAAAGGGAAGAAAAGCUCAUCUAAUGCCAAAAUCACUCUAGUGUCCACCAUCCCUACAGCUGUGUCAGAGACAACUGAUGUAAGUAAGGGCCCCAAACACUUCUAGGAAUUGAGAAGUCCUCUGCAAAUUUGCAACAUUACAAACAGAAGUGACAAUGAACAUGUUCAAGGCUCUCAGGUUUCCCUUUUUUCCUGCUCAUGGGAUCCAAAGGCUAUGCACUUUUUAGCAGAGAUCAUGCUGACAUCACUAUGAGUUACUUGGGACCCAAUGGAAACGACAACCACAAACAGGUGCAUAGACUGCAGACUGGACUAUGGACUUCAGCCAUCUCAACUCGUGUGAUACGCUGAGACUUGUGACAGAGGCAAGGUAAGCUACUUUUCCUAGCUUUGUUAAGACACCUGGGAAAUUCCUUCCUUGCUCAAGCAAUCACAGGCGCAUGUGACUGACACCAACAAGCAGUAGAAGAAGUGGAUGACAAAGAAGCAAUUCUGGGUUUUAGAGUCUGUACAGGCAGGUAUGACCUGGCAUGUGUUCAGAAGAGCAUGGAAACUCCUAUGGGGUUGCAGGAGGAGAGUAUAAACUCACGUGGGAAACUAAGAGGAGGACAGCAAACUCUGGUACCCUCUUUCUGGAUGGAUUACACUCUAUCCUUAAGCUAAGAUGAAGAAAAAUGCUGGAGCCUGGAUACUGUAUUGGUAGAGCUGCAUAAGGCAAGCCCAAAGACAUUUUUUCCACAUUAGUUUGGCAUUCAUUAACAUGCCCUGCAGUUGCAUUUAUAACAUGCCAUUUUUCAGAUGACCGGACAACUUAUUUUCAUCUGCCUUUCAAUUCAUUCAUCUGUCAUUUGGACCUUUCUUGUAAGUAAAAGUGUUCUCUCUUAACUUUCAUACCAUUGUUAAUUUCUACCAUGUAAGGGAAUCAAGUAGAAUUCAUCAGAGCUUUCAAUCAAAGUGAGGUAUAUAUAGAUACAUAGAGAUAUAUGAAGAAACAGUGGUAACAGCAUUAAAUUUCAGAGCAAAACCAUUUGUUCUGCCUAAAAAUGAAGCUGCUAUCUAGAAACAAGACUGAUUAUUCAUAAUGUUACCCACUGUUAUUACCAGGACUCCUUACAACCCCCGAUAAGCUUUUAUCUAACAUGUUUAACAUGUCAAAGUCAAUUUUCCUUUCCACAUGUAUAUUUCAUAAUGUUACUGAAGAAUGCAGCCAAACACCCAAGUACUACGUAGAAUAUACAUUUAUUUAUAUUUAUUUAAUAUUACCCUAGCUCUUGACAACUUUAAAAGAACUCACAACUUAUAAAUAACUGAGGUUUCUUUAGGAAAAGCUCUGCCAUGAAAAAUAAUGUGU
rnacentral:lncRNA from 1 species